rnacentral:lncRNA from 1 species
CCCAGAACAAAAAAAGAAAUUACAUAUUUUAUUUCUUUCUUUAAGAAAUUAAAUACCAGGUCAUCACAUAGAACCAUCUCAGUGUGGUGUUUGGUGGAUUUUGCAUGACGAACUAUCCAUAAAUCCUUCACUCUUACAUCAACUCUCCAUAGUGAUUUGCUAUUGUCAAUGUCCCUUAUUUUCUCAAAAGGCCUUUGUAGGACAAUCAUUUUGUUCUUCAUUUUUUCCUGUUUUUUUUUCCAUGGUCGCAGUUCUAACAUGACAACAUAUAACAUCAAAUAUACACACACAAAUAACAUGGGUAAACAACUUGAAAGUUUUAAACAAAUAAACAGCUACAAUCAUUCAGAUCUAUCAAUAAAUGACAACAUCAUUAAACAAAAAACAAAUAAGCAAAAGAAAAUAACUUAGAUCUUUUCAUAAAUAUACACCAACAUGACGAAAUAGUUUUUAAAAAAGUUGGUUGGUUUUUUGUAGAGCAUGCAUGGUUUUAGAUUCAUCUUUUACGAGAACAACAUGGUCUAAUAUUUUUUUAAAAAAAAUUGUGCUUUUUUUUUUAUAGAGAAUCCAUGGUUUUAGAUCUAACAUUUGAAGACAACUUGGUAUAAGUGUAGCUUAAAAAAUUACUACUCAUUUAAAUAGGUUGCAUGCAUUUAGAUCUAAAAGUAAUACAACAACAGUUCAAAAAAAAAAUAGAAAAAGCUACACUAACAAUGCAAAGAAACCAACUUUUGAUGGAUAAAUAUUACAUAUUUAACAAAAUUUACCUCAAAUCCAGUAGAUAAUAUCACCUACAUAAACACAAAAGAUUUGAACAGUACCGUAAUCAGUCAAACAAAAAUUUAUAAGAACAUCAACAACCAAAACGAAAAAAAAUGAAAUUGGUGUAUAUUCAAACCUGGGAAGAGAGGAAGAGUGAACAAAGAUUGAAGAAGAGGAGGAAUGGAAAGAAGAAAGAGUGAAUAUGAUGAAAUGAGGAGGGAGGGAAAGAUAGUGUAAAGAUUUGGUUGAAGUAAAAGUGAUGUGAUGUUGUUAAGUGUUGUUGCUAUCGAGGAAGAAUAUACACUGUUUACAAAAGUUUUU